GUGGGGAAUAUUGGGCAAUGGGCGCAAGCCUGACCCAGCAACGCCGCGUGAGGGAAGAAGGCUUUCGGGUUGUAAACCUCUGUCCUUGGUGACGAAACAAAUGACGGUAGCCAAGGAGGAAGCCCCGGCUAACUACGUGCCAGCAGCCGCGGUAAUACGUAGGGGGCGAGCGUUGUCCGGAAUUACUGGGCGUAAAGGGAGCGUAGGUGGCCUUUUAAGUUGGAUGUGAAAUACUCGGGCUUAACUUGGGGGGUGCAUCCAAAACUGGGAGGCUAGAGUGCAGGAGAGGAAAGCGGAAUUCCUAGUGUAGCGGUGAAAUGCGUAGAUAUUAGGAGGAACACCAGUGGCGAAGGCGGCUUUCUGGACUGUAACUGACACUGAGGCACGAAAGCGUGGGGAGCAAACAGGAUUAGAAACCCCGGUAGUCC
rnacentral:rRNA from 1 species